AAGGCGUAAUCCGAAAAGCCUAAUUUUUUAAUAGAGUAGGAG
rfam:Nonlabens dokdonensis DSW-6, complete genome.